CAGCUGGAAACGGCUGCUAAUACCCCAUAUGCCGCGAGGUGAAAUGAAUUUCGCCUGAGGAUGAGCUCGCGUCUGAUUAGCUAGUUGGUGUAGGUAAUGGCUCACCAAGGCAUCGAUCAGUAGCUGGUCUGAGAGGAUGAUCAGCCACACUGGGACUGAGACACGGCCCAGACUCCUACGGGAGGCAGCAGUGGGGAAUUUUCCGCAAUGGGCGAAAGCCUGACGGAGCAACGCCGCGUGAGGGAUGAAGGCCUCUGGGCUGUAAACCUCUUUUAUCAAGGAAGAAGAUCUGACGGUACUUGAUGAAUAAGCCACGGC
rnacentral:rRNA from 1 species